rnacentral:misc_RNA from 1 species
UUAUUAUUGUGUUCAAUGUGUGCCACCAAACCUGAUGUUUUCUUAUUUGAUCUAACGGGUUGGUGGGUCGUUGUUAUGAGAGAGACAGAGACAGAGAAUGACUACCUACAUAAAAAUGGAAGCUGAUGCAGGUUUUUCUUGUAAUUGUAGUUUUAAAAGUAAUCUUUUGUUUCUGGAGUUUCUUGUAUUAUCAGUUGAAAGUUCAUUUUCUACUUUUAUAUAGAUAUUAAAUAUAAUCAAUGCAGGCCUCAAGAGUUUCUUAUAGUUGUUGCUUUAGAAGUGACUUUCUUUUAUUUAAUGAACUGUUGGCCAAAUUUCCAAAAUUCUGUUGUAUUUAAGCUGUUACCAAUUUUGUUUUACUUCUAGCUUCAUUGAGAGAGAUAAUGGAAUAAUGGGGAAGCAAGGAUCCCCGAGAAGUCCUCGUCCUGAAUUAUCUCUUGGGACAAAAGAUUAUCAGAUUAGAAGUUUGGAAAGUUUGCCAUCCAAUGAUCCUUCCAUUGGAAGGAGAUAUUCUGGGGGAGAUAAUAAUUGGAAGACCAAAGUUGUCUUGCUUGGUGGUUUGAAAAAUGAGUACGGGAAGCUUGGUUCUAAGGGAGUUUAUGUUGGGAAAAGGCAUACAUGGUUUCGUAAACACAUUGGAUCAAUUGCUUUUAUGUUUGCAUUGAUUUGCUUUCUUUUCCUGCUUGAUUCUUUCAUGAUGUCGAUUUUUGAUUCAAUAAAUGUUCAAAAUGGUUCAACUUCGAGCAAAUCAAGUGGUCUUACGGUAUGAUUUCUUAUUUUGUAAAGAACUGGUGCAUUCCAUUUUUGAGGUAGUAUUGAAUGUUACACAAACUAUUGAUUUGAAACUUUUUGGUGUUGGGAACCGGAAGUUGAAUCAAUCAUUUAGCGAUUUAGAUGAUUACAACUAUUGAAUUUGGAUUGAGCUGCAAUAAUGUAGUAUUUAGCCCUAUUCUAUCAUUUGCAGUUUACAGUUUGUGGUGCAUUGCCUUUGGAUUCCAAAUCUGCAUGUUCAAACUGUUCUGUGCUUAGCCAAGAAACUUUCUAUCUACUGGGGAAUGUUUCGAUCCAACACAAUUCAAAAUAAAUUGUCAUUUUUUUUUUCUUUUUGCAAGUGAAUAAUUUCUUUACUAAAUGAACUUUCUGCAAAUAAGCAGAUUACGACUUUUUCUUUCUCCAUUAGUUAUGUGAAUAUAUUACAUUAGGUCUUAAAUGUUCCUUGUAGCUCUAUGUAAGGGAAAUUGUAUAUAUAAGGAAUGUUGAAUGGCAAAUUUCUCUUUCUUUUAGCAAAAGCACGGGGCAAGAAAUUAACUAGUAUAAUUUGUAUGCAAGUAGUAUGCAAAGGAGGAUAAGACUACUUACUCUAAAGAAGAAAAACCACCCGUCCAGAUGUAUGGUCGGCUCCUGAACUUGGCUUCUAAUGCCCUUGCAGAGGUUAGCUUUAAAAGUUCUAAACUUAGUAUGUAUAGAAGCUUGUUGCAUUCAAGGGCAUACAUCUGAAAUUUUACUCUGCUUUAGAAAGAGUUCAAGCAAGAAAAAUCAAAUUUCUGGGAGGAACAAUAUCAGAAGGCAUCUGUAUGGAAACCUUGUGCAGAAAAAAAGGAUUCAGAAAGUUUAGGUAACUGGACUUUUUGAUUCCUGUUUGACUCAUGAGAAUUAUAUUAACUACCAUUUACUCUAUGAUAGCUCACAUUGACAGUAUUAAGUCCCUGAAAAUGAAAUGACAAAAAGCAGUAUGAUAAACCUAUUAAAUAUUGUGUUGAGACAGGGAAACCUGACAAAAGCAAUGGCUAUUUGAUGGUCAGUGCAAAUGGUGGUCUCAAUCAACAAAGAGUCGCUAUAUGCAAUGCUGUUGCCUUGGCAUCUUUGCUUAAUGCAACUCUUGUUCUUCCAAGAUUUCUUUACAGCAAUGUAUGGAAGGAUCCUAGCCAAUUUGGAGAUAUCUACCAAGAGAAGUAUUUUAUGAAGAUCAUGAAGGAUGACGUAAAUAUCAUAAAGGAGCUUCCUUCUCACUUGAAAUCCUUGGAUAUUGAAGCAAUUGGUAGCCUUAUUACUGAUUCUGAUAUUGUGAAGGAGGCAAAGCCUAGUGAUUACCUUCAAAAAGUACUUCCUCUAUUGUUGCGGAAUGGAGUUGUUCACUUUCUUGGAUUUGGAAAUCGACUUGGCUUUGAUCCAAUGCCUUUUCAACUUCAGAGACUAAGGUGCAAAUGUAACUUUCAUGCGUUAAAGUUUGUGCCAAAAAUUCAACAAGUUGGUUCACUGUUGAUCAAAAGAAUAAGGAAGUAUGAUUUUGCACAAAGUAUGUUAGACAAGCAACUGCUUGGAGAUUUCAUGCCUAGCAGUGCCUCGAAGAUGAAUGAUCCAACAAGAAGGCCAUCUAGAUAUCUUGCUUUGCACUUGAGGUUUGAAGUGGACAUGAUUGCCUAUUCCUUAUGUGAAUUUGGAGGAGGAGAAGAUGAGAAAAGAGAACUUAAAGCCUACAGGGAAAGCCAUUUCCCUCUGCUCAUUGAACGGUUGAAGAACUCCAAGCCUAUCUCUCCAUCAGAAUUAAGAAAGUUAGGAAGAUGCCCAUUGACACCAGAAGAAGCUGCCCUUGUUCUCACUGGUCUUGGGUUUAAACGCGGAACUCAUAUUUAUCUUGCUGGGUCCCAUAUGCAUGGUGGAGAAUCUAGGAUGUAUCCGUUCACCAGCCUCUACCCUAAUUUAGUCACAAAGGAGACUCUCCUCACAGCCAGUGAACUUGCACCUUUUAGGAAUUUCUCUUCACAGAUGGCAGCAUUGGACUUUAUUGCUUGUGCAACUUCUGAUGUCUUUGCCAUGACUGAUUCUGGGAGUCAACUAUCAUCCCUAGUGUCUGGUUUCCGGACUUACUACGGUGGUGGACAUGCCCCAAACUUGAGGCCUAACAAGAAGAGGCUAGCAGCAAUUUUGUCAGAGAAUAGCACCAUAGGAUGGAAUAGUUUUGAAGAUAGAGUAAGAAAGAUGAUUGAAGAAGGUCAAAGGGUGCGCAUUAGGGGCUUUGGUCGAAGCAUUUAUCGACAACCAAGGUGCCCUGAAUGCAUGUGUAAAUCAUGAUACACGCCCUUUCAUUGUUUUGAAAUUCAUUUGCAUCAGCAAACAAUGCAGCAUCCUAAUGUUAAUAAUGCUAUUGCUGAUUGGCUGGUAUCAUCAUUCAUUUGUUCAAUUGAGUUCAUUGAGUUCAUUCCCUCUCAUUUGUUAUUUCUUCGAUUGAAUAAACUUGUACCACUGUAAUUUAGUCCAAUUUCUGAUGCAAUGAAUAUUUUGAUGUCCAAUUACCUGUUACUAGAAGUAUAUUCAUAUUUGCAGCAGGUAUGUCCAAUUGCCCAUGACAAGAGACAAUAACUUGUUGAAUGAAUAAGGAAUUGAAGCAAAACCAAGCAAAACCAUUUCUCUGCAAGAAAAACAUUUGGAUUUUUACACUGUUCUUCAUUGGAGCUGCAAUCACCGCGUUAUCCUUAUCUGGAAAUGAUGUUUUUCCUAACAUUUUUCUCUGGUGAUUGAGCCACUUCACGAUGGAGGGAAGAAACGAUUUAGGUUGAAAGGAAGGGUGUAGAACUCCUCAUUCCUGCUGUCUCCAUUAAAUGACCGGAAUCUCACCCACCAUGUCAUUCCUCUAUCACUAGCACUGUGCUUGUAGUCAAGUGUGUUGUCCAAGAACACAGCAACAAUCAAAGCAACAGUUGGGGAUGAGAAGAAGAUGGUAUUCAAAAAAUCAUUGAACCAUCCAGCUCUUGUAUGAGCAGGACCAUGAAAGGCCUUUGCUGUGUAUUCUCUGAAGUAUUCAGGGACAGACAAACCAAGAAAGAAUGCAACACCGGUGAUGAAAAGAUUUCUCAUUGAGUUCAUAUUUGUGAAUUGCAAAAAUGAUAACCCCACUGAAGCAACAAGACCAAACAAAACACAAUACACUGCAGCAAAUAUGGGGAAGGGUAUUGAUGCAAAUAAAGCUCCAAAUUUUCCUAGCAUUGAGAAAAAUAUCAUAAAACCGGCUGAGAUUUGGAUAACUCUGCGGCUGCCAACACGAGUACUCCCAAGCAGCCCCACAUUUUCUACAGAGACUGUUGAACCACUCAAUGUUCCGAAGAGUCCAUCCAGUAAAAUUCCUAUCCCCUGCCAGCCAAUUCCACGGCUGAGCACAUGAGCUGGAGGUGGUGUGGCACUUGCUAGACGUGAUGCAGCAUUGUAUGCACCAGUUGACUCAAUAAGUGAGACUAUUACAGCAGCCAUCAUUCCAAAACAAUGACCAGCAUCAAAAGUGGGAGCACCCCACUGAAGAGGAUAUGGGAUCUUUAUCCAUGGAGCGGAAGAAAUGAGAUACGCCUUGUCAGUUCGACAAUUAACUUGGGUAAGCUCUGGACUAUGUUUGUAUGCACCACUGGCUGUCAAGAGAUGUGCAUAUGCCCAUAUCACUGUGACAGAUAUAAGGACAGCAAAUCGCUCAAGUAUUGGUAGUUGUCUUGUCUGAAAGUUCUUUAAGUACUGGGAGAAGGUUAUGAAUAGGAUAAGCAUGGGAAUGCCAAUCUCUACGCACCGCCCGACCACAGGGAAGCCUCUAUCAAACAGGCCAAAACCCACUAAUGAAAUGACUGGAACCAUUCCAAGCGGACUGAAAAACCUGGAACAAAUUGCCCACAAUUGGCUGUACCCCAAAAUGAUCUGUAUACUUGAUGAUACUAUUAGAGCACCUUGGACUGCUCUCAUGGUGUUGAGAAAUCUCACGUGAUUGUCUUGAAUGCUCAUCAAGGAAGGGUCGUGAAUGAUUGAUAUGAUUGGGACCAUAAAUGCAUAUGACCCUCCAAUCACGGUGGGUAAACGCGUCCCGAAUAGUGUCUGCAGAAGUGUAUUGAUCCCCUCGACAAACAGCAGAGUCUGCACCACCCUCACUUUAUCACCAUGAUCACCACCCAUCAAAGGAACAAGAAAUGAAGGGAUCAUAACAGCAGUUCCUAAUGCCAAAAUGUAAUGCUGGAAACCCAGAGCUAUAGCUUCUCCCCAAGAUGGGUUGGAGUCAAUACAGUACUCUAAACCUUGAAGUUGGUCCAUUGGUGGGUGACUUAUCUCUUCUGGUUUUGGAGCUGCCAUCGCCUCUACCUAUUACCUUCUUCAAAACUCUUGUUAAGCCUCUAAACUCAAAUGGUUUAUGCUUCUAAAUGAAUCAAAAAAUAGACAGAUACAGAUACACAGAGGGAGAAAAGAGAGAGAAGUCCUCUCAAGGUCUUUGCAGGUUAUCAAAACCAAUGCAAUUUGAAAGUGAAAGAUAAAGCAGAAAAGUUUAAAUAAAGAAGGAAGAAGAAAGUAAGGAGAGUGAGAGAGAAAUUAAUGAGAAAAAAAUUGGCACUUGCCGCCCACUAAAUUUGGCUUUGUGCAGAGUUUUUAUCUCCCUAUCGUGUCUAUGCG